ensembl:snoRNA LOC120101124 small nucleolar RNA U3
AUGACUACACUUUCAGGGAUCAUUUCUAUAGUUUGUUAAAAAUAGUUUUUAAAAGUAUAAAAUACAUGUG